rnacentral:rRNA from 1 species
GACGAACGCUGGCGGCGUGCUUAACACAUGCAAGUCGAACGGAAAGGCCCUGCUUUUGUGGGGUGCUCGAGUGGCGAACGGGUGAGUAACACGUGAGUAACCUGCCCUUGACUUUGGGAUAACUUCAGGAAACUGGGGCUAAUACCGGAUAGGAGCUCCUGCUGCAUGGUGGGGGUUGGAAAGUUUCGGCGGUUGGGGAUGGACUCGCGGCUUAUCAGCUUGUUGGUGGGGUAGUGGCUUACCAAGGCUUUGACGGGUAGCCGGCCUGGGAGGGUGACCGGCCACAUUGGGAUUGAGAUGCGGCCCAGACCCGUACGGGAGGCAGCAGUGGGGAAUAUUGCACAAUGGGCGGAAGCCUGAUGCAGCAACGCCGCGUGCGGGAUGACGGCAUUCGGGUUGUAAACCGCUUUCGCCUGUGACGAAGCGUGAGUGACGGUACUGGGUAAAGAAGCACCGGCUAACUCCGUG